rnacentral:rRNA from 1 species
CAGAGUUUGAUCCGGCUCAGGAUGAACGCUAGCUACAGGCUUAACACAUGCAAGUCGAGGGGAAACGACAUCGAAAGCUUGCUUUUGAUGGGCGUCGACCGGCGCACGGGUGAGUAACGCGUAUCCAACCUGCCCACCACUUGGGGAUAACCUUGCGAAAGUAAGACUAAUACCCAAUGACGUCUCUAGAAGACAUCUGAAGGAGAUUAAAGAUUUAUCGGUGAUGGAUGGGGAUGCGUCUGAUUAGCUUGUUGGCGGGGUAACGCCACAAGGCGACGAUCAGUAGGGGUUCUGAGAGGAAGGUCCCCCANAUUGGAACUGAGACACGGUCCAAACGUCCUACGGGAGGCA